UACGUAGGGUGCAAGCGUUGUCCGGAAUUAUUGGGCGUAAAGGGCUCGUAGGCGGUCCAUCGCGUCGGGAGUGAAAAGCUGGGGCUUAACCCCAGUCCUGCUUCCGAUACGGGUGGACUAGAGGUAGGUAGGGGAGAACGGAAUUCCUGGUGUAGCGGUGAAAUGCGCAGAUAUCAGGAGGAACACCAAUGGCGAAGGCAGCUCGCUGGGACGGUACUGACGCUGAGGCGCGAAAGCGUGGGGAGCAAACAGG
rnacentral:rRNA from 1 species